UAAGUUAUACUGCAAAGAAAUUGUAUUUAAUUUUUAAUAUUUUACCUUUUGCAUAAUGGUUUAAUAAUAUAAUAUAUAAAUUUUAUAUCCCGAAAUUAGAAGAUCUAAUAUUAUUAAUUUUUUAGAACUAAUUGUAUAAUGUUUCAAAAUUAUAUUAAUAAAUAAUAUUAGGGGUGAAAGGCUUAGCAAUUCUAAUGAUAUCUGGAAUAACUUUAAAUGUAUUUAGUACAGAAUAAAAUUUGAGUAGAAAAAUGUUAAGAUUUUUUUAUUUAUAGAAUAAGAUAUUGAAAUAUUUAUAUGAAAUAAACUUCCAAUAUUUAUAUUAAUAUAUAAUUUAUUAUUUUAUACAUCUAAUUAAUAAAGUUAUAUCACAUUUAAACUAAAAUUUUAAUUUAACUAUGUUAAAAUUAGUAUAAUAAUUUUAUUUAAUUAAGGAACUCGGCUAAUCAUUAUUUACCUGUUUAUCAAGAACCUGCCCACUGAUAUUAAAUUAAACGGCCGCAGUACCUUGACUGUGCUAAGGUAGCAUAAUAAAUUGACUUUUAAUUGGAGCCUUGAAUGAAUGGAACCAUAAAUAAUCUCUGUCUCAAUUAAACACUUACAAAUUACUUAAAAGGUGAAAAUUCCUUUAAUAUAUAAAAUAGACGAGAAGACCCUAGGAGUUUUAAUUUUUGUUGGGGCGACAAUAUAGCAUAUAACCUAUAUAGUAAAUAAUUUAUAAAACGAAUAAAUUUUAAUACUAAAUAAGCUACCCUAGGGAUAACAGCAUAAUUUAACUUAAGUUUGUGACCUCGAUGUUGGACUAGGAACUUUUAAUAUUAACAAUAUUAAUUGAUAGUUCUGUUCGA
rnacentral:rRNA from 1 species